CACGUAGGCGGCUUUUAAGUCGGGGUGAAAUCCUGGAGCUCAACUCCAGAACUGCCUUCGAUACUGAGAAGCUCGAGUCCGGGAGAGGUGAGUGGAACUGCGAGUGUAGAGGUGAAAUUCGUAGAUAUUCGCAAGAACACCAGUGGCGAAGGCGGCUCACUGGCCCGGUACUGACGCUGAGGUGCGAAAGCGUGGGAGCAAACA
rnacentral:rRNA from 1 species